rnacentral:rRNA from 1 species
GGGUUGUGAGGUUAAGCGACUAAGCGUACACGGUGGAUGCCCUGGCAGUCAGAGGCGAUGAAGGACGUGCUAAUCUGCGAAAAGCGCCGGUAAGGUGAUAUGAACCGUUAUAACCGGCGAUGUCCGAAUGGGGAAACCCAGUGUGACUCGUCACACUAUCAUUAACUGAAUCCAUAGGUUAAUGAGGCGAACCGGGGGAACUGAAACAUCUAAGUACCCCGAGGAAAAGAAAUCAACCGAGAUUCCCCCAGUAGCGGCGAGCGAACGGGGAGCAGCCCAGAGCCUGAAUCAGCUUGUGUGUUAGUGGAAGCGUCUGGAAAGUCGCGCGAUACAGGGUGACAGCCCCGUACACAAAAGCACACAGGCUGUGAGCUCGAUGAGUAGGGCGGGACACGUGGUAUCCUGUCUGAAUAUGGGGGGACCAUCCUCCAAGGCUAAAUACUCCUGACUGACCGAUAGUGAACCAGUACCGUGAGGGAAAGGCGAAAAGAACCCCGGCGAGGGGAGUGAAAAAGAACCUGAAACCGUGUACGUACAAGCAGUGGGAGCAUCCUUCGGGGUGUGACUGCGUACCUUUUGUAUAAUGGGUCAGCGACUUAUAUUCUGUAGCAAGGUUAACCGCAUAGGGGAGCCGAAGGGAAACCGAGUCUUAACUGGGCGUUAAGUUGCAGGGUAUAGACCCGAAACCCGGUGAUCUAGCCAUGGGCAGGUUGAAGGUUGGGUAACACUAACUGGAGGACCGAACCGACUAAUGUUGAAAAAUUAGCGGAUGACUUGUGGCUGGGGGUGAAAGGCCAAUCAAACCGGGAGAUAGCUGGUUCUCCCCGAAAGCUAUUUAGGUAGCGCCUCGUGAAUUCAUCUCCGGGGGUAGAGCACUGUUUCGGCUAGGGGGCCAUCCCGGCUUACCAACCCGAUGCAAACUACGAAUACCGGAGAAUGUUAUCACGGGAGACACACGGCGGGUGCUAACGUCCGUCGUGAAGAGGGAAACAACCCAGACCGCCAGCUAAGGUCCCAAAGUCAUGGUUAAGUGGGAAACGAUGUGGGAAGGCCCAGACAGCCAGGAUGUUGGCUUAGAAGCAGCCAUCAUUUAAAGAAAGCGUAAUAGCUCACUGGUCGAGUCGGCCUGCGCGGAAGAUGUAACGGGGCUAAACCAUGCACCGAAGCUGCGGCAGCGACACUAUGUGUUGUUGGGUAGGGGAGCGUUCUGUAAGCCUGCGAAGGUGUGCUGUGAGGCAUGCUGGAGGUAUCAGAAGUGCGAAUGCUGACAUAAGUAACGAUAAAGCGGGUGAAAAGCCCGCUCGCCGGAAGACCAAGGGUUCCUGUCCAACGUUAAUCGGGGCAGGGUGAGUCGACCCCUAAGGCGAGGCCGAAAGGCGUAGUCGAUGGGAAACAGGUUAAUAUUCCUGUACUUGGUGUUACUGCGAAGGGGGACGGAGAAGGCUAUGUUAGCCGGGCGACGGUUGUCCCGGUUUAAGCGUGAAGGUGUGUGCUCCAGGCAAAUCCGGAGCACUUUAACACUGAGGCGUGAUGACGAGGCACUACGGUGCUGAAGUAACAAAUGCCCUGCUUCCAGGAAAAGCCUCUAAGCUCCAGGUAACACGAAAUCGUACCCCAAACCGACACAGGUGGUCAGGUAGAGAAUACCAAGGCGCUUGAGAGAACUCGGGUGAAGGAACUAGGCAAAAUGGUGCCGUAACUUCGGGAGAAGGCACGCUGAUAUGUAGGUGAAGUCCCUCGCGGAUGGAGCUGAAAUCAGUCGAAGAUACCAGCUGGCUGCAACUGUUUAUUAAAAACACAGCACUGUGCAAACACGAAAGUGGACGUAUACGGUGUGACGCCUGCCCGGUGCCGGAAGGUUAAUUGAUGGGGUCAUCCGUAAGGAGAAGCUCUUGAUCGAAGCCCCGGUAAACGGCGGCCGUAACUAUAACGGUCCUAAGGUAGCGAAAUUCCUUGUCGGGUAAGUUCCGACCUGCACGAAUGGCGUAAUGAUGGCCAGGCUGUCUCCACCCGAGACUCAGUGAAAUUGAACUCGCUGUGAAGAUGCAGUGUACCCGCGGCAAGACGGAAAGACCCCGUGAACCUUUACUAUAGCUUGACACUGAACACUGGUCCUUGAUGUGUAGGAUAGGUGGGAGGCUUUGAAGCGUGGACGCCAGUCUGCGUGGAGCCGCCCUUGAAAUACCACCCUUUAAUGGCUGGUGUUCUAACGUGGACCCGUAAUCCGGGUUGCGGACAGUGUCUGGUGGGUAGUUUGACUGGGGCGGUCUCCUCCUAAAGCGUAACGGAGGAGCACGAAGGUCAGCUAAUCCUGGUCGGACAUCAGGAGGUUAGUGCAAUGGCAUAAGCUGGCUUGACUGCGAGCGUGACGGCGCGAGCAGGUGCGAAAGCAGGUCAUAGUGAUCCGGUGGUUCUGAAUGGAAGGGCCAUCGCUCAACGGAUAAAAGGUACUCCGGGGAUAACAGGCUGAUACCGCCCAAGAGUUCAUAUCGACGGCGGUGUUUGGCACCUCGAUGUCGGCUCAUCACAUCCUGGGGCUGAAGUAGGUCCCAAGGGUAUGGCUGUUCGCCAUUUAAAGUGGUACGCGAGCUGGGUUUAGAACGUCGUGAGACAGUUCGGUCCCUAUCUGCCGUGGGCGCUGGAGAAUUGAGGGGGGCUGCUCCUAGUACGAGAGGACCGGAGUGGACGCAUCACUGGUGUUCGGGUUGUCAUGCCAAUGGCACUGCCCGGUAGCUAAAUGCGGAAGAGAUAAGUGCUGAAAGCAUCUAAGCACGAAACUUGCCCCGAGAUGAGUUCUCCCUGAGACCCUGAGUCUCCUGAAGGAACGUUGAAGACGACGACGUUGAUAGGCCGGGUGUGUAAGCGCAGCGAUGCGUUGAGCUAACCGGUACUAAUGAACCGUGAGGCUUAACCUUACAACGCCGAAGGUGUUU